rnacentral:lncRNA from 1 species
CCCCAGCAGCCCCAGGUGGUAGCCUCCGGGGCCUGAUUAUUAUGGGGGGCAGAAGCGGCACCCUACCCAGCUGAGAAGAAGGUCAAGCCGUCUCCUAGGUGUGAAUGGCGCUAUGCAAGAAGGAAGUGGCUGUGGAAAUUAGUCAGAGCCCAUCUGCCCAAGAACAACAAGAAUCUCUCUAUGAGAAGUCAGUCAUCAGGCUGGAAGGACGGCAGCAUCCUCCCUCCUGGCUUCCUUCUGCCUGGGAAGAGGACACUGAUGCUCAGUGAGACUACAUACCUUGACUGAGAUCACAGAGGAAGAUGCAGAAAAGGGAUGUGCAACCAGGGCCCCCUGUCUUCCCCUCGUGUCAGGUGA